GCAUUUCUUAUGUAAUUGAAAUUCAAUUUAUCUUGAAAAAGUGUUAUGAUACAAUAUAGUAAAAUAGGAGAGUGGUCUUAAUUUUCUUUUGAAAAUUUCAUAAAAUUACCAAGUUUUGUAUAAGAGACAUGACCUGAACAACACUAAAUUCUGCACAUUCUAUAUAAAUGAUUAUAUGUUGAGGCUCAGUGAUGACUAGACAGCCCUCCCUCUACGUGGUGCAGAGCAGAUUAAAUUAAUUAAAUCCGCCCCCCCAAAUAAACUAAUCAGAGAUAUCUUUCCCUAUAGAGCUGUAGAAAAAACUUGAGGCCUGCUGUAAAGUAUUUCAGAAAUGGAUUUACCUGCUAUGUUGGUCAGGACUGACGUGCCAGAAUGUGAAAACAAUCCUUGGCGACACAACAGAAAAUCCUUCACCAUACCAAGGACCUGGGAAAUCUCACCUUGAACAAAAAAGACAAUCAGCAGACAACAAUACUGAGAUGGCACAGAUAUUGGAAUUAUCUGGCAAAUAUUUUAAAGUAGCCAUCGUAAAAAUUCUUCAAAAAGCAAGUGCAAACAUACUUAAAAGAAAUGAAAAAAUAGAAAGACCCAGCAGAGAAAUAAAAUAUAUAAAGAGAAACGAAAUGGAAAUUUUAGAACUGAAAAAAUAUAAUAAAUUAAAAACUCAAUGGAUGGGUUCAACAGCAGAGUGGAGAACACAGGGAAAGAAUCAGUGAACUUGAAAAUAGAACAAUAGAAAUUACCCAGUGUGGAAUGUAGAGAGAAAAUGAACUGGAAAAAAAAAAAGUAUAGAGACUCAGUGAUUUUUGUGGGCCUAUAACAAAAAGUCUAAUAUUUGUGUCAUUAGAGUUCCAGAGAAGAGGACAAAAAGAGUGUUCUCAAAAAAUAUUCAAAGAAACAAUGGUUGAAAAUUUCCCGACUUUGGUAAAAGAUAUAAAUCUACAGAUGUAAGAAGGUGAAUGAGUUCUAAACAUGAUAAAUCCAAAGAAAUCCAUGCCAAGAAACAUCAUAACCAAACUUCUAAACACCAAAGGAGCCAAAGAUAAAGAAAAAAAUAUAGGAAUUCUACAGGAAAAAUGACUCCUCACCUUUAAAGCAAAACCAAUUUGAAUAAAUGUAUUUAGGCCUCUCCUGUCUCUAAAUCACAUGUGCAGCUUGUGCCACUAUGUAGGUGUCAAUACAUCCAACAUAUUUUUUUUACUAAUUCAUAUAUUCAUUCAUUUAUUAUUUGUUUGUAGCAGGAUAAAGUAUAAAGAAAUUAACUUAUGAUUUGUUUUUGUUUUGGUGUGUUCAUUUUAUUCAGGAAAUAUUUGUUGAGCACCUACUGUGUGCAAAACUCAAAGUUGACAAAGACCUUUUAUAUUCUAGUCAGGGCAGACAGAAUCACUUUGGCAUCCUAGUCAAGGGGAAGAGAAGUAAACACACAAGAAAGAAAAAUAUAUAAUAUGUCAGACAGGGAUGACUGAUGAAUGGUGGUAGUGGUGGUGGUAAUGACAGUGUUUGUGUGCAAUGAAAGGGUUAACAGUUAAUAGGUAAUAUUUUCUCCAAACACAGGGACACUUGCAGAAAGUUUUACCCUUAGUUGGACUUGCUGCAAUUAGAGAUAAAUGAGUGUCUUCCUGGUGUUUCUGUUUACUGACUCCUGAUCCUAGGAUGUUCCUAGCAUGCUGUAGCUGGCUGUCUGGAUUAUUUCUUGUACAAUUUGUAGUUUUUAGAUUAAAGCUUCACUCAAGAAAGGGAUCUGGGUAUGGACCACUCCAAGUACAGAGGACUAGCAAGUAUCUAAGCUUGGGGACAAGAAUAUUGGCAUUGGAGAUUUGAAGUGAUUGGAUUCUUGAUAUAUUUUGAAAGUGGACCCUACAGAAUUUGCUGAUGCAUUAGAUGUGGGCUUGUGAGAGGUUGACAGGAAUGAGAAUGACCAAGGUAUGUGGGCCUGGCAGCAAGAAGAAUGGAGGCGCCUUUAUAGUGCUCUAUUGUUUGAUGUAUCUAUUUGCCUUUGAUGAGCAUUUUUUUGCUAUUAAAUUCAAUGCAGCAGUGACAUUGUUCACAAUUUCUUCUUAGACACGUUUGAGUUCCUCUAGGAUGUUCAUAAGAGUGGGAUUGCUGGUUCACACAGUACUGCUGCUUCAUUAGUUCCCAGUUUCACAUCUUUGCCAACACUUAGUAUUGUCAGGCUUAAAGUUCUUGCUGAUCUGAUGGAUGUGAAAUUAUAUCUCAGAAACAUAUUAGACCUUUGCCCAUAUUGUACUUGUUUGUUCUAUUUUCUGUAUUUCCAUCUUUUGUUUCUCUCUCCGUGUUUCUAUCCAGAUAUUUUAUUUUGGUGUAUCUUGAUGUGUUAAUGUGGAACUCUUGUUACCAUUCCAAGUGGUUUCUUCAUCUCAAGCCUUAGUAAAUUUCAUUAUUACCCGCCCAAUGGAUCAAAACUACAUCCAAAUGUCUUUAACACUUUUCUUCACUCCCUACAUCCAGUCCAUCACCAAGCUCUCCCGCUUCUACUUCCAAACAUCCAUAUCCGAUCACGUCUCCCAUUCUACUACAAAUAUCUUGUCUGAGCCACUCUCAUUUAUCUUUAGAUAAUGAGAAAAAGCUUUUCACUCAUUUUCCUGCUUUAGCUACUGUCUUUCCCCAAUUAAUUCUCUGAAACUAUUUAGUAUUUAUAGUAAAAUCUUAAUGUCAUUUUAUUUACUUAUUUUUGGUUAAAUUUAGGCCUAGGUAUGCUAUGUUUAUUUUCACUUGUAAAUUCUGUCUUUUAAACAUUUUCUUACUGUUUGAUACCGGUUUAUAAUUGAUCUUAGACUCAACUUUAUUGCUUAAUAAUUAUUUUCUUAAUAAUUCU
ensembl:lncRNA